UACGUAGGGUGCAAGCGUUAAUCGGAAUUACUGGGCGUAAAGCGUGCGCAGGCGGUGCUGUAAGACCGAUGUGAAAUCCCCGGGCUUAACCUGGGAACUGCAUUGGUGACUGCAGCGCUGGAGUAUGGCAGAGGGGGGUGGAAUUCCACGUGUAGCAGUGAAAUGCGUAGAGAUGUGGAGGAACACCGAUGGCGAAGGCAGCCCCCUGGGCCAAUACUGACGCCUCAUGCACGAAAGCGUGGGGAGCAAACAGG
rnacentral:rRNA from 1 species